UCCUCGAUAGCUCAGUCGGUAGAGCGUCGGACUGUUAAUCCGCAGGUCCCUGGUUCGAGCCCAGGUCGGGGAG
rnacentral:tRNA from 1 species